rnacentral:rRNA from 1 species
UACGUAGGGUGCGAGCGUUGUCCGGAAUUACUGGGCGUAAAGAGCUCGUAGGUGGUUUGUCGCGUUGUUCGUGAAAUCUCACGGCUUAACUGUGAGCGUGCGGGCGAUACGGGCAGACUAGAGUACUGCAGGGGAGACUGGAAUUCCUGGUGUAGCGGUGGAAUGCGCAGAUAUCAGGAGGAACACCGGUGGCGAAGGCGGGUCUCUGGGCCGAUACUGACGCUGAGAAGCGAAAGCGUGGGGAGCGAACAGG